rnacentral:rRNA from 1 species
GCAUAUCAAUAAGCGGAGGAAAAGAAACCAACCGGGAUUGCCUCAGUAACGGCGAGUGAAGCGGCAAGAGCUCAAAUUUGAAAGCUGGCUCCUUCGGGGUCCGCAUUGUAAUUUGCAGAGGAUGCUUCGGGUGCAGCCCCCGUCUAAGUGCCCUGGAACGGGCCGUCAUAGAGGGUGAGAAUCCCGUAUGGGGCGGGGUGUCUGCGUCCGUGUGAAGCUCCUUCGACGAGUCGAGUUGUUUGGGAAUGCAGCUCUAAAUGGGUGGUAAAUUUCAUCUAAAGCUAAAUACUGGCCGGAGACCGAUAGCGCACAAGUAGAGUGAUCGAAAGAUGAAAAGCACUUUGAAAAGAGAGUUAAACAGCACGUGAAAUUGUUGAAAGGGAAGCGCUUGCAACCAGACUCGCUCGCGGGGUUCAGCCGGGCUUCGGCCCGGUGUACUUCCCCGCGGGCGGGCCAGCGUCGGUUUGGGCGGCCGGUCAAAGGCCUCCGGAAUGUAGCGCCCUUCGGGGCGCCUUAUAGCCGGGGGUGCAAUGCGGCCAGCCUGGACCGAGGAACGCGCUUCGGCACGGACGCUGGCAUAAUGGUUGUAAACGACCCGUCUUGAAACACGGACCAAGGAGUCUAACAUCUACGCGAGUGUUCGGGUGUCAAACCCGUACGCGCAGUGAAAGCGAACGGAGGUGGGAGCCCCCUCGCGGGGCGCACCAUCGACCGAUCCUGAUGUCUUCGGAUGGAUUUGAGUACGAGCGUAGCUGUGGGGACCCGAAAGAUGGUGAACUAUGCCUGAAUAGGGCGAAGCCAGAGGAAACUCUGGUGGAGGCUCGCAGCGGUUCUGACGUG